AUUGAACGCUGGCGGAAUGCUUUACACAUGCAAGUCGAACGGCAGCACGAGGGCAACCUUGGUGGCGAGUGGCGAACGGGUGAGUAAUACAUCGGAACGUGCCCAGUCGUGGGGGAUAACGUAGCGAAGCUACGCUAAUACCGCAUACGAUCUAUGGAUGAAAGCGGGGGACCGUAAGGCCUCGCGCGAUUGGAGCGGCCGAUGGCAGAUUAGGUAGUUGGUGGGGUAAAGGCUCACCAAGCCUGCGAUCUGUAGCUGGUCUGAGAGGACGACCAGCCACACUGGAACUGAGACACGGUCCAGACUCCUACGGGAGGCAGCAGUGGGGAAUUUUGGACAAUGGGCGCAAGCCUGAUCCAGCCAUUCCGCGUGCAGGAUGAAGGCCUCGGGUUGUAAACUGCUUUUGUUACGGAACGAAAAGGUUUUACCUUAAUUACGGAGAGCUCAUGACGGUACCGUAAGGAAUAAGACACCGGCUAACUACGUAGCCAG
rnacentral:rRNA from 1 species